UCAGAUUUUGAAAAAUGUCAGAAGUCUGUGUACAAGCAGUGAACUUCUCCUAAUAUCACGGAUUUCUGCAGCCUAACAAGUCCCAGCGGCAGGGAGAGAAGACCGGAGGCUGCAGCCGGAGCAUCUGCUCGGCAGAGGGUCCCCCAGAGAGCGCCAGCCCAGCUGUGCCACCUUUCUGCAGUGAGGGCUGAGGCCAAGUUAGCCUAUUUUGUGCUGUUCAAGGAGCAUCAGGUGACAGACAACAGGCAUGGAUGACAGGAAGUGAGUAAUUGAAAUCGGCCCUCCUGUUUUUUAACUUUCUGCGGGGAGCGAGGCCCAGCGGCCCAUCUGUUGUGGAAAUUUUUGAAAGACACAGAAGGUACGUUAUUCUUAGCCAAAAGGAUUUCUCUUGGUUUUGGAAAUUGUUCUCAGUCUUUCAUCCUUCCUUCCCUU
rnacentral:lncRNA from 1 species